UACGUAGGCAGCAAGCGUUGUUCGGAAUUACUGGGCGUAAAGAGUGUGUAGGCGGUUCUCUAAGUUCGGUGUGAAAUCUCCCGGCUUAACUGGGAGGGUGCAUCGGAAACUGGAGGGCUGGAGUAUGGGAGAGGAAAGCGGAAUUCCUGGUGUAGCGGUGAAAUGCGUAGAUAUCAGGAGGAACACCUGCGGUGUAGACAGCUUUCUGGACCAUCACUGACGCUGAGACACGAAAGCGUGGGUAG
rnacentral:rRNA from 1 species